GGGUAUCCAUGGCUAUUUCCUUGUGUUAGAUUGAGGAAGAAGGACUUGGUGUGCGAUCCAAGUGACUCCUUGCGGCGUGAAGUCGAGGAGGUCUGCUUCUAAUGAUUAUUCUCUUUAAGUUCUUUGUUUAUUCUCGAGGUUUAUCAAGGCUACAAAUCAGGUAUGUGAUUUCUGAACUUGCCUAGAAAAUUCUGCAAAAACAGAGCAUCCGCCCCUAUUGGAAUAUCUAGGUUUGAUUCUCAGAUUGACUCAGUUUUUUGGUCGAUUGUUCCUUAAUCUCCAAGCAUGGUUCGACCCAAUUUUGGGAUGAUUCUGUCCACUCCAUCUUGAGUUAUUAGAAAUCACCAGUUCCUUGUCUUUUAGUGACCUGCUGUGUUCUAACUUGAGGUCGAUUACUGUGACUGAUUUUAUGUUGCUUCCUUAAGAUGGUGCGUCAUUAUUGUUGUUGAUUUGAACCUCUAAAGACCUCUGGGGUUUUUUGGUUGUGUUUAUUUAGUCUACUGCUGCCCUAUCCUAAUCUAUAUUGGUAAUCAGAAAUCUGUCAACUGCUGAAAUUGCUACUGUUCUGUUAUGGUUGUGGACUGUUGAUACUAUAGUCUGGUUGUCGAUUAGUCCUUUUGUUUGGUGCUGAUAUCUGGUCAUAGAGCCCCAAAUUCUGGUUUGACAAAUCUGAUUGUUAAGGACUGUUGACUAGUUAAUAUUGGACUGUUAUUGCUGCUCACUGUUGGGUGAUUAUUGGUUCUCUGGUUUAUAAUUUCCUGCAGUCUUGGGUCUGGUUUGGUUGUCAAAUCCAUCCCUACAUUAACCUCCAGCCAAAACCAAGGGCGGAAGACCAGAACCCUACAAAGGAUGGUUCUCACUCAACAGUACUCUGAUGGAGCUGAGAUUUUGGAACAACCUCCAUAUACCCCAGCCCUAUGAAGCCCAAGUGAUUGCUCAACAAAACAGCAAUCGACCAUUUAAAGAAAGCUUCCUGAAGGCUGAAACUGCAGGUGGCAGUUGGCAUAGAACUAGCCUGUUUACAGACUGUGUGUCACGGUAGAGGAACUGUUUGGCACAGGAAACUGGGAUUUGGGUCACUCAGAGGAGGGGGUAUCUAUGACUCAAAUCUCAGGGGAAAAGGAAGAGGAACCAGGGAUAUCAAUCCCAAACUUGUUGAACUUGUAGUACCGCAGAAACAGGGGAUUAGGACUAAGAUGGGGAAGACGAAUUGAAGAGAAACAAAAAAUAAAGAAGAAGAAGAUGAAGGAAGAGGAGAACAAAGGGGAGAGAGUCGAACCUGAGAAGAAGAGGAAUUGAGAAAGGAAGAGGAAUGGAAGGCUGCACUGUCGGCCACACUGGAAUCUUGCCAAGCACUCCAUGGCAACACAAAAAAACUCAAUUAUUAUUCAUUCAAUUCUAUUCACUAUCUCCAUUGGUAGGUUACAUUGAAUAUUAAUAGCAAAAUGAAACUCCUAAAAACAAGAAGCUAACUCUAAAUAGGGAACUAAAACUAAUUAGGAAACAAACAACGACGUAGCUAUCUCCUUGAUAACUCAUGGUUUCAGAUUUCAUUAGUUUAGCUGAAAUUACAUACGGGAGUGCCGGCUUAUACAAAGAUGAGAACUCUACAAUUGGAAGGCCUUGCUGUACAUGAGAAGGAUGCACACAAUAGGAAAGCUUGUUGUAUGUGAGAAGGAUAGAGGUGGAUUUGGAAAGGCUUUUGGCUGUAUUGAAUAUAGAGUUCCCUUGUAAACAAGUUGACUCAAUAUUUGUUUAAUACACCCCUUCAAGUUGAAGGGACAAGUGAGCGGAUCUUCAACUUGUCACGUAGAAGUUGAAACCGUUUUAUUGGUAGGCCCUUAUUCAUAAUUUCCGCUGGUCGAUUUGCCAUUGAAAUGAAUUGAACCAUCAACUCUCGUUUGACAGCCUUGUAAUGUAAAAAAUGAAAGUUAAUCUCAACCUGCUUGGUACAAGCAUGGAAUACUGGAUUUUCUAAGAGAUAUGUCGCCCCAAUAUUAUCACACUAUAGAAUUGGAGAGUGUUUGAGAGGAAUACCAAGUUCCUUAAGAAGAGAUUCCAACUAAGUAAGUUCAGAUGCAUCGGCAAAAGCUUUGUAUUCCGAAUUAGUGGAUGAACGAGCAACAUUUUUUUAUUUGCAGGAUGUCCUUGAAAUGAGAUUUGUACCAUGCAUUGUAUACUCUCUCGUGGAUUUCCGAUCAUCACUGUUCCCUUCCCUGUUAACAUUUGAAAAUGCCUGAUGUGUGAGAUGAUGAUAUUUCUCAAUAAGCAAGCCAUAAGUCUGUGUAUGCUUGAGAUAAUGGAGAAUCUGCUUAAUAAGUGACCAAUAUUCUUCUGUAGGGUCGUGUAUAACCGAUUCAAAUGCACUAUCCGCCAUCAUCCUCCUCGUCCUUCCUUAUGAGCCCCAUCCAGCCACCCUAUCUCUUCAACUCUGUUAGUGCCUUCACCCUUACCCAUCCAGUUGGCCCCACCACAUCCCCCAACUCUUGCACACUCCAUGACUCUUCGGCACAUGACUAAGCCCCCCAUGCCCUAUCAUCCACCGCCACAUCCUCUCCCCCCACCCAUCUAUAUCAAACAUGUUUCUCCCAAGCCAACAAAAUUCCCAAAUGGAGGUCCACAUGGUAGAUGAAUUUAACGACUUAUUAUGUAACGGCACUUGGACACCUGUCCCUCGCCAACCCCGUAUGAAUUUGAUUGGUUGCAAUUGAGUUUACCAAAGUGGAUGGUUCUUUUGAAAGGUUCAAGGCCCGCCUUCUUACAAUUACAAAAGACUUUCAUCAACAAUAUGGUUUGGAUUAUACUGACACUUUCAGUUCUGUGUUGAACUUGCAACAGUCCGACCUUUCUUCAUGCAUUCUCAGUGAGGAGGUGUACAUGAGUCAGCCACCCGGUUUUCAGUACCCCACCAAACUGGAUCGUAUUUGUAAGCUGCAUUGCUCUCUUUAUGACCUUAAACAGAAUGCACGUGGUUGGUUCUAUAAUUUGUCUACAUUCCUUUUGCACCAUGGGUUUCACAGCUUCUCAAACGGAUCUGUCCUUAUUCAUCUAUAACCAAGGUAUGGCCAUCAUGUAUGUAUUGGUGUUCUGGUCACAAGAAAUCAUUCCACUCAUGUUACAACCCUCCUUGACCAAUUGGUAUCUGAGUUCUCCAUCAAAGAUUUGUGGACCAUACAUUUCAUUUUUGGAAUUGAAGCAGUUUGUCACCCUAAAGGUCUUUUAUUAACUUAGUCUCGAUACAUCAGUGAUCUCUUAUAUAGGGUCGGAAUGAUGGAUUGUAGGCCUGUUCUCACACCAUGGCCAUGAAUAUGAAAUUAUUUGCUUCAGGGGGUGUACUUCUUUCUUACCCUACUUUGUAUCGCUUUAUUGUUGGGUCUCUCUAAUACAUCACUUUGAAAUGUCCUAAUGUUGUAUUUGUAGUAAAUUAUGAUUUUCAAUUUAUGUACGACCCUACAGAAGAGCUUUGGCCACUUUUUAAGCUGAUUCUCCAUUAUCUCAAGUGUACACAGACUAUUGAUUUGCUUAUUGAGAAAUAUCAUCAGCUCACACUUCCAGCCUUUUCAUAUGCUGACUAGGCAGGGAAAAAUAAUGACCGGUGUCCACGAGAGGGUAUGCAAUUUUUUAGACUUCCUACAAAUAGGAAUCUAUUACUUGUUCAUCCACAGAGUCCAAAUACAGAGCCUUAGCUGAUGCAUCAGUUGAACUUACUUGGUUGGAAUCUCGUCUUGUGGAACUUGGUAUAUGAUGAUACUACUGAAGGCAGGAAAGUCUGCACUUAUUACAACUUGGAUUCCAUUCCUGUGAUUCUUGUUAUUGAUCCCAUCACAGGGCAAAAGAUGUGGUCAUGGAAUGGAAUGGUCCAUCCAGACCGUUUGUUGGAGGAUCUACUACCUUAUAUGGACAGUGGCCCCAAGAACCACCAUAUCACUCAUCCGCAUAAACGUCCACGUGAGAGUCCACAGAUUUCUACCCAAAAA